GACGAACGCUGGCGGCGUGCUUAACACAUGCAAGUCGAGCGGAAAGGCCACUUCGGUGGUACUCGAGCGGCGAACGGGUGAGUAACACGUGAGUAAUCUGCCCCUGGCUUUGGGAUAGCCACCGGAAACGGUGAUUAAUACCGGAUAUGACAUGGACUCGCAUGGGUUUGUGUGGAAAGUUUUUCGGCCAGGGAUGUGCUCGCGGCCUAUCAGCUUGAUGGUGAGGUAAUGGCUCACCAUGGCUU
rnacentral:rRNA from 1 species